rnacentral:tRNA from 1 species
UGGGGAGUCGCCAAGUGGUAAGGCAUCGGUCUUUGGAGCCGACAUUCGGUGGUUCGAAUCCACCCUCCCCAGCCA